rnacentral:misc_RNA from 1 species
GGCUCUUUGAACAAGAAUGCCAAGGCAAGAUUGGCUACAACAGCAAGAGAGAGGCAGCAAACGAAUAAAAUUUCUGAAUUCACAUUUCUCAUCAUCAAAUAUACAGGGAUAGGGUCGAUUUAGUGAGAAGUUCAGAGAUUGGUGACAUUAGCUAAACAUCAAAGUAAAGAUUCAAAUGAAAGCAAAUAUGCCAACAGCAGAUCCCAUCUGGCCAUCUUCACUUUCCUUCAACUCGAACAUUUUCAAGAUCUCAUAAGCAAAAUCUUAUCUAUGGUUUGCCUCCAAUUCUUCUUUAGUUCCAGAUUCACUCAGCAAUCUGCAACAAACAGCCAAAGAACCCACCUGGGAAAACCCAGAUUUCUGCACCAAUUCCAGCUGAAAUUUAUUCUAAAGAAGCCCAGAGCCUGAUCAAGUUCAGCAAGGCCUUUCCAUGACACAACAAUUAUGUGUUAUAGCUAAUCAUACUUCUCUCUCCAUGAGUAAACAAGAAAGAAAACCCAGGAAAGAGCCAAUGCAAUAUCACCCACAACCUGCCUUGGCAAAUCAUGAGCUAGAUCUUCAAGCUUCCACUCAAAGUAAAUUCUCCAAAAAGCCACUGAAACAUGAAUCAGAACACAACCCUUUGCAAAAAAGCUUUGGAAUUCUCUAUCCUUGACAAAUGCCACCAUAAAUAACAGGAAACCAAUGGCAAAUAAGAGCAACCCAGAAAAGGAAUCAGAGGUUUGGAUCAAGAGUUGGUCACGGGGUGUUGAUCCUUUCAGCUUAGAAGCUACCUCAAUGCCAUGGCCAAACACAGAGGCCUCAUUCGUGUAAAACAUCAUCAGAAUUCCACAGGUUAGAGCUAUCAAAGAAUGAAGCAUACAUAUCAGAAAGAACCCAAAUGAGCCCAUUUGAUCAGGAAAAAUAUUAAGCUUUUUUAUCUCCUUCCCUUACCAACACAAAUCAAGUACAAAUAACUGAAAAACAAAGCCUUUUAACCUUAGCUAUCAAUGCAUCAUCCGAUGUGAAAAGAGAAAUAGGAAAAAGAGAAAUAGGAACCCAAUUGAUAUAAACCAUUAACCGACUUAUUUUUAAUGUUUUAUCAGAAAGAGAAGAAGAUGAAAUCACUGCUCAAAAUCCUGAUCCCAGGAUUCUUACAAUAAACCAGAAUGAAAACUCAUUGAUCAAGACGCCAAAAAAGACCUUCCCAACUAACUGUAACAUAACUUUAAUCAGAAAUCAAAAUUCAUCAAACACGAUAGACCCACAUACACAAUUUAAUUUUCAAUUUAUAGCAUACUACAAGAGCCCACUGUUCCGGCAACAAGAACCAUUAAAUUAAGCUCUAAUCCCAAAUUUAGCCAAAUCCAGUUGCACAAAGAGAUCCAAAUAAAAAACCUUUGUAUCCAAAACCCCACAACCAAAACUAAGGAGCUGAAGAGUCAAUGACAAUGAAACAAAUGAAUCGACGCUGAAGGUGUGGGGUUUCAGUAGGGAGAUUAGUGUUCAAUUUUGGAUAUAAGCGUUUA